CAAGGCGUAGCUAUAACAAAAAGCAUUCAGCUUACACCUGAAAGAUACCUGUAACUAACCAGGUCACCUUGA
rnacentral:tRNA from 1 species